GGAAGAGGCUAAAGAACCAGAAGUAAAAUGCGUUUCCACUCCGGGCUAUGGUAUUCAAAACGCCGUAAAAUAUGUAUUCACAACGGGUGAGCCAGCAGUAACCGAUCCUGUUAUAUUUACUGAUGGCGCGAGUUGCAAUCUCUUCAGCAUCCAGAGAAAAAAUUCGAAAAAGGGAUGCGAGCUUUGGGUGAAGGACGACUUCAAAGAAAAUGUCCCCUUAUGUUGCUCAUUUAUCUACGACCUCCUGUGCGCACAGGAGGGAAGCUUUGACGUCUAUAAUAAGGAAGAUUGCAAGGGAGUUGUGAACAGGUGGAGAGAAAAUACUGCAGGUAGGCGCACAGACUAUAUGGCACAAACCAUGGACAAGUCACGUGGGGAUUUCACUGUUUAGUACCGUUCAUUUUGCGGACACGCCAAAUGUAAUGAAAUGGUACCCAUCCGGAUACGUGACAUUUGCUUCCGAAGAACGAGAAAAAGGAAAUUCUGCCCUGUAUCAAUAAAACUGAAACACCGAAUAAACACAAAAUAUUCU